GAAACCAGUCUAUAAGAGCGACGUAUAGUGUCAAUAUUGACAGAAUUCUUUUAUUCUAAUGUCAAUUUUGACAAUAUACGUCGUCCAUGCGUCGCUCUCUAAGUGGCCAGUAACUAUUUGCGAACGCAUUUGACAGAAUCCUAAUACGAUCAUGUGGAUUAGGAAUCUGUG